rnacentral:rRNA from 1 species
AGUGAACGCUGGCGGUAGGCCUAACACAUGCAAGUCGAACGGCAGCACAGUAAGAGCUUGCUCUUACGGGUGGCGAGUGGCGGACGGGUGAGGAAUACAUCGGAAUCUACUUUUUCGUGGGGGAUAACGUAGGGAAACUUACGCUAAUACCGCAUACGACCUACGGGUGAAAGCAGGGGAUCUUCGGACCUUGCGCGAUUGAAUGAGCCGAUGUCGGAUUAGCUAGUUGGCGGGGUAAAGGCCCACCAAGGCGACGAUCCGUAGCUGGUCUGAGAGGAUGAUCAGCCACACUGGAACUGAGACACGGUCCAGACUCCUACGGGAGGCAGCAGUGGGGAAUAUUGGACAAUGGGCGCAAGCCUGAUCCAGCCAUAUCGCGUGGGUGAAGAAGGCCUUCGGGUUGUAAAGCCCUUUUGUUGGGAAAGAAAAGCAGCAGGUUAAUACCCCGCUGUUCUGACGGUACCCAAGGAAUAAGCACCGGCUAACUUCG